UGGGAAGAUCUAUGGACAUUUCCAUGAAAGAAGAGAACCAAUGGUGUGCAGUCCAGAAUGGGGCUAUGAGAACCAAAGAUAUCUGUGAACGGCUGAGGUGUACCAAUGUCUGAGCCAGAAUUCCGUGGCUAGGUCCGUCAGUAUCUUGGAUCUCGUGCCGCCCAGAUGGUUGAUGUAGCCGAAUGCAGAUAUAUUGUCCAUUCGCAGAAUAAUGGAGUAUUUGGUCGUGAGACCGUUGAGGCUUUUUAGGGCGAACGAUCCCGCCAUGAGUUCCAGGUUGUUGAUGUGAAGCUCUUUUUCUGAUAGGACCACAACGCACUCCCCAACUGUGCGU